AAUAUCAAAAAAUUGAUUUUUGAGAAUCUUAGGUUUUAACCCUAAUGGUCAAACCCUAAUGGUCAAACCCUAAGGGUUGUAGCUAAUGUCUAGAAUGCCCUUGAAACUUUAAGUGAAAUUACCAAAAUGCCCUUUUUGUCCCAUUAGUGCAUUAUUGGUGAAUUAUUUGUGCAUUAUUGCUAGCCAUCUCCACAAAAUCUGGCCAAUCACCCUAGAUUUGUCCUAUGAGCUCUAUAAUUGACAGCAAAUCAGAUCAAGCAACAUUAUAUCACAUUACAUAUUGAUUAAGAGAGAGAAAAGUGUACCAAAGUUGCUCAUUUUUCUCUCUUGCUCUCACCAAUUUUUUUCUCUUAAACCCACGAAUUCUUAUAUCAUUUCAG
rnacentral:lncRNA from 1 species